CAGCAGCCACGGGAAUACGUAGGUGGCAAGCGUUGUCCGGAAUUAUUGGGCGUAAAGCGCGCGCAGGCGGAUCAGUCAGUCUGUCUUAGAAGUUCGGGGCUUAACCCCGUGAGGGGAUGGAAACUGCUGAUCUAGAGUAUCGGGGAGGAAAGUGGAAUUCCUAGUGUAGCGGUGAAAUGCGUAGAUAUUAGGAAGAACACCAGUGGCGAAGGCGACUUUCUGGACGAAAACUGACGCUGAGGCGCGAAAGCCAGGGGAGCGAACGGGAUUAGAUACCCCAGUAGUCCCUGUCUUUUAUACC
rnacentral:rRNA from 1 species